GGCCGCCUGGCGAAAUGGCAUCGCGUCUGACUACGAUAUUCAGAAAGUUGGUAAUCAGGAGAUUGCAGGUUCGACCCCUGCGGUGGUCA